rnacentral:rRNA from 1 species
UACAGAGGUCCCGAGCGUUUGUUCGGAUUCACUGGGCGUAAAGGGUGCGUAGGUGGUUGGGUAAGUUUGAUGUGAAAGCUCAGGGCUUAACCCUGAAAUGGCAUUGAAUACUACUUAACUGGAGGUUUGGAGGGGGGACUGGAAUUCUUGGUGUAGCAGUGAAAUGCGUAGAUAUCAAGAGGAACACCAGUGGCGAAGGCGAGUCCCUGGACAACACCUGACACUGAGGCACGAAAGCUAGGGGAGCAAACAGG